rnacentral:rRNA from 1 species
AACGAACGCUGGCGGCAUGCCUAACACAUGCAAGUCGAACGAGACCUUCGGGUCUAGUGGCGCACGGGUGCGUAACGCGUGGGAACCUGCCUUUAGGUUCGGAAUAACUCAGAGAAAUUUGAGCUAAUACCGGAUAAUGUCUUCGGACCAAAGAUUUAUCGCCUUUAGAUGGGCCCGCGUAAGAUUAGCUAGUUGGUGGGGUAAAGGCCUACCAAGGCGACGAUCUUUAGCUGGUCUGAGAGGAUGAUCAGCCACACUGGGACUGAGACACGGCCCAGACUCCUACGGGAGGCAGCAGUAAGGAAUAUUGGUCAAUGGACGCAAGUCUGAACCAGCCAUGCCGCGUGAAGGAUUUAAGGCCUCUGGAUUUGAAACUUCUUUUAUCUGGGACGAAAAAAAGGCGAUUCUUCGUCACUUGAGGUACCAGAUGAAUAAGCACCGGCUAACUCCGUGCCAGCAGCC